UGUUGGUUCUCCCGCAACGCUAAUCUGUUUACCAGGUCAGGUCCGGAAGGAAGCAGCCAAGGCAGAUGACGCGUGUGCCGGGAUGUAGCUGGCAGGG
rnacentral:SRP_RNA from 6 species